CACGGCUAACUACGUGCCAGCAGCCGCGGUAAUACGUAGGUGGCAAGCGUUAUCCGGAAUUAUUGGGCGUAAAGCGCGCGUAGGCGGUUUUUUAAGUCUGAUGUGAAAGCCCACGGCUCAACCGUGGAGGGUCAUUGGAAACUGGAAAACUUGAGUGCAGAAGAGGAAAGUGGAAUUCCAUGUGUAGCGGUGAAAUGCGCAGAGAUAUGGAGGAACACCAGUGGCGAAGGCGACUUUCUGGUCUGUAACUGACGCUGAUGUGCGAAAGCGUGGGGAUCAAACAGG
rnacentral:rRNA from 1 species